rnacentral:rRNA from 1 species
GACGAACGCUGGCGGCGUGCUUAACACAUGCAAGUCGAACGCUGAAGCUCAGCUUUUGUUGGGUGGAUGAGUGGCGAACGGGUGAGUAACACGUGAGUAACCUGCCCCCUUCUUUGGGAUAACGCCCGGAAACGGGUGCUAAUACUGGAUAUUCACUGGUCUUCGCAUGGGGGUUGGUGGAAAGGGUUUUUCUGGUGGGGGAUGGGCUCGCGGCCUAUCAGCUUGUUGGUGGGGUGAUGGCCUACCAAGGCUUUGACGGGUAGCCGGCCUGAGAGGGUGACCGAUCACAUUGGGACUGAGAUACGGCCCAGACUCCUACGGGAGGCAGCAGUGGGGAAUAUUGCACAAUGGGCGCAAGCCUGAUGCAGCGACGCCGCGUGAGGGAUGGAGGCCUUCGGGUUGUGAACCUCUUUCGCUCAUGGUCAAGCCGCAACAAUGGUUGUGGUGAGGGUAGUGGGUAAAGAAGCGCCGGCUAACUACGUG